rnacentral:rRNA from 1 species
GGCAUCGGCGUGCUAUACAUGCAGUCGAGCGGACAGAUGGGAGCUUGCUCCCUGAUGUUAGCGGCGGACGGGUGAGUAACACGUGGGUAACCUGCCUGUAAGACUGGGAUAACUCCGGGAAACCGGGGCUAAUACCGGAUGGUUGUUUGAACCGCAUGGUUCAGACAUAAAAGGUGGCUUCGGCUACCACUUACAGAUGGACCCGCGGCGCAUUAGCUAGUUGGUGAGGUAACGGCUCACCAAGGCAACGAUGCGUAGCCGACCUGAGAGGGUGAUCGGCCACACUGGGACUGAGACACGGCCCAGACUCCUACGGGAGGCAGCAGUAGGGAAUCUUCCGCAAUGGACGAAAGUCUGACGGAGCAACGCCGCGUGAGUGAUGAAGGUUUUCGGAUCGUAAAGCUCUGUUGUUAGGGAAGAACAAGUGCCGUUCAAAUAGGGCGGCACCUUGACGGUACCUAACCAGAAAGCCACGGCUAACUACGUGCCAGCAGCCGCGGUAAUACGUAGGUGGCAAGCGUUGUCCGGAAUUAUUGGGCGUAAAGGGCUCGCAGGCGGUUUCUUAAGUCUGAUGUGAAAGCCCCCGGCUCAACCGGGGAGGGUCAUUGGAAACUGGGGAACUUGAGUGCAGAAGAGGAGAGUGGAAUUCCACGUGUAGCGGUGAAAUGCGUAGAGAUGUGGAGGAACACCAGUGGCGAAGGCGACUCUCUGGUCUGUAACUGACGCUGAGGAGCGAAAGCGUGGGGAGCGAACAGGAUUAGAUACCCUGGUAGUCCACGCCGUAAACGAUGAGUGCUAAGUGUUAGGGGGUUUCCGCCCCUUAGUGCUGCAGCUAACGCAUUAAGCACUCCGCCUGGGGAGUACGGUCGCAAGACUGAAACUCAAAGGAAUUGACGGGGGCCCGCACAAGCGGUGGAGCAUGUGGUUUAUUUCGAAGCAACGCGAAGAACCUUACCAGGUCUUGACAUCCUCUGACAAUCCUAGAGAUAGGACGUCCCCUUCGGGGGCAGAAUGACAGGUGGUGCAUGGUUGUCGUCAGCUCCUGUCCUGAGAUGUUGGGUUAAGUCCCGCAACGAACGCAACCCUUGAUCUUAGUUGCCAGCAUUCAGUUGGGCACUCUAAGGUGACUGCCGGGGACAACCCGGAGGAAAGGGGGGGAUGACGUCAAAUCAUCAUGCCCCUU